CUGGUUGAUCCUGCCAGUAGUCAUAUGCUUGUCUCAAAGAUUAAGCCAUGCAUGUCUAAGUAUAAGCGACUAUACUGUGAAACUGCGAAUGGCUCAUUAAAUCAGUUAUGGUUUAUUUGAUGGUACCUUGCUACUUGGAUAACCGUAGUAAUUGUAGAGCUAAUCAUGCAGGAGUUCCCGACUCACGGAGGGAUGUAUUUAUUAGAUAAGAAACCAAACCGGUCUCCGGUUGCGUGGGAAUUUCAAGCUAGAGGUGUCAGAAAAGUUACCACAGGGAUAACUGGCUUGUGGCUGCCAAGCGUUCAUAGCGACGUAGCUUUUUGAUCCUUCGAUGUCGGCUCUUCCUAUCACUGCCUCGCAGCGGGGGCCAAAUGCAGGAUUGUUCACCCACCAACAGGGAACGUGAGCUGGGUUUAGACCGUCGUGAGACAGGUUAGUUUUACC
rnacentral:ncRNA from 1 species